UGAUAAGGGAUGUUUGUUUUUAUCCAGGCACACAAUGAGGAGCAAGGGAAUGAUGUGGUCAGACCAAGAACAGACGGUAUGGCCACAGCAGUUACAGGGGAGAGUUCUUCUUUGCCACAUCGGAGGGUCGCUCUGUGGAUGACUGGUUGAAAGAGAAGAGACGACUGGAUCCGAAAUACCAGCAGUCGCGCAGGUGAAGAACAAUCCACGACAAUGCAUGUGACUCCUUUUCAUCUUUUUUCUAAUUGCAGGAGACACCAACUUCACGUGCAGCAUAGUGUCACCUGUAUAUAGUUUGUGUAAUUUUGCUUACAUAUAUUUUGUGUGUAUUUUGAAAAUCUAUCUAAUUUUAAUAGAGUAUUUUGUUACAAAUUUGUAUUGUACAUAGUUUAAUUUUACUGUUGACAAUGUUCUCAAGCUAAUUCAAUUGAUGUUUUUGUUACAUAAAAAAUCUUUUCAAAGGA